CUUUCUUGUUGCGUGCCCGUUCGUCCACACACACACACACACACACACACACUGAUCAGUCUAAGACUGUCAUAUGUUGCUUGAACUAAAGAGUAGCAUAUACUUGGCUGGUUAUGGGACGAUACAUUCUGGCAGUUAACCAUGGAGAAAACUAAGGGACAAUUUGUAAAUGUAGCACUCAUAAAAGCAAAGCUCAUUUCUUGAGAUUUACCUUAUACAGAAUUAUAAGGAGAUUGACCAGAAUCACAACAAAACCUGCAGUUAUAAGAGACCAAGUUUAAUUUCUGGUUCCCUAUGGUAUGUUGUUAUUUUCUUAAAACAAAACUGUGAAGCUGUGUGGUGCUUGCAGCAUGUUGACAAAACAUGUUGUACAUGUUUAUGGUAUCAGGAAUAUGUAGUCCAUUAGAACAUAGUAUUUUGCAUAAGUUUAGCUGUAUGAAAUUAAAAUAGAAUUCUGUUCACAGUUGAUGUCAAUUGCCAAAAGCUAAAUGAGCUUGAAGUGUGCAUAUAUUGGAUCUAGUUAAGAUAGAUAGCUUUGGUGUGGGUGAAGAAGUUUUCACAUUCUACUUAAUCUCACAGGUCCAGAAUGUGAUAGAGAAGCCUUAUAAUGACCAUCUACCUUUAAUAGAAGCAAGCAGGCUGUGUAAUAUGGACAUAAUCUCACAAGUACAGCAAGUUAUCUGCUUUGCGUUCCAUGACAGCAGGUUGCUCAUGGAAACAUGCCAGGAGGCCAAGAAUCUCCGGAAGAUAGUGACAUUAUUUUACCUGGAUUAGCGGAAUCUAUUCAUGUUCAGUAUAUUUUUUGUCAUGAUGGAUAGGGAGAACAUGCCGCCCCAGGAAUGGACAAUGUUGCUUAUGAUGGGGUGUCGGUUAGCUGGAGACAAAUCUGUUGACAUUUGAAAACUUGUAAAAUCUUAAGAGGGCCAAUUUGCCCCUCUCUUUUAUUUAAAAAUAAGUCAAGUAUAGGAAUGAAGCAUGUUUAUUUUUGUCUAGCGUAGUUGUUAUAAUAAGAGAUUAGAUUCUGUAA